UAGUCAUAUGCUUGUCUCAAAGAUUAAGCCAUGCAUGUCAAAGUAUAAGUAGAUUAUAUAGCGAAACUGCGAACGGCUCAUUAAAUCAGUUAUAAUUUGAUUGAUAAAGAAAAAACUACAUGGAUAACUGUGGUAAUUCUAGAGCUAAUACAAGCAAGAGUACUCUUAGGAGUAGCAUUUAUUAGAUAGAAAAAAACCUUUAGAAGGAUGAUUCAAAAUAACUAGGGAGAUCGUAAUAUUUUUACGAUGUAUCAAGUAAAUAUCUGCCCUAUCAACUUUGGAUGGUAGGAUAGAGGCCUACCAUGGUGAUAACGGGUGACGGAGAAUUAGGGUUUGAUUCCGGAGAGGGAGCCUGAGAAAUGGCUACCACAUCCAAGGAAGGCAGCAGGCGCGCAAAUUACCCAAUCCUUUUAGGGGAGGUAGUGACAAGAAAUAACAAUACUGAAAGAAAAUUUUAGUAAUUGGAAUGAAACAAAAGUAAAAAGAUUAUUGAGGAACAAUU
rnacentral:rRNA from 1 species